GAAAGUCAGUUGGAGCCUGGCCAAGAGAUGAACUGAGAGACUUCCUUGACUUCUGACCAAGGGGGAGACUUCCCUGGUUUCUAACCAAGGGAGUGACUGGCUUUUUUCUGACCUAGGAUGAGACUUUGGUGUGGCUGAUGUUCAUGAUUGAUUGCUAUAUACUGGGCUGGUCUAUUAGCUAUCAGUAGUGAUCAAUAGGCACCCACUGAUACUAUCCCUGGUAGUAGUAUCUCCAUUACAACUAGGCACCCUCAGGUUUCCCCUAGUACCUCUCUAGUCAAGCCAGAGUAUCUCAGUUAUUUCAACCAGAAAUAUCUCCAAGAUUAUCUAUUCUAAUACAUCAAGAAUUCUCUUUCCUUCUGAAAAGAAGGCAAUAUUCAAAAAUCCUUUACACACCUCUGUUUUCUGCCACCUCUACUUCAGAAACAUCCCUGACAACACAGCAGGCAGUUUUUGUCAAAUAGUGGAUUCUUGGGCCAAAAACUGGGGUCUUCGGGUUUAUCAAACACUAGCUUGCUGA
rnacentral:lncRNA from 1 species